AAAUUGAAGAGUUUGAUCAUGGCUCAGAUUGAACGCUGGCGGCAGGCCUAACACAUGCAAGUCGAGCGGUAACAUUUCAAAAGCUUGCU
rnacentral:rRNA from 1 species